rnacentral:rRNA from 1 species
AGAGUGGAUUAGUGGCGCACGGGUGAGUAAUGCAUAGGUUAUGUGCCCCAUAGUCUGGGAUAGCCACUGGAAACGGUGAUUAAUACUAGAUACUCCUUACGAGGGAAAGUUUUUCGCUAUGGGAUCAGCCUAUGUCCUAUCAGCUUGUUGGUGAGGUAAUGGCUCACCAAGGCUAUGACGGGUAUCCGGCCUGAGAGGGUGAACGGACACACUGGAACUGAGACACGGUCCAGACUCCUACGGGAGGCAGCAGUAGGGAAUAUUGCUCAAUGGGCGAAAGCCUGAAGCAGCAACGCCGCGUGGAGGAUGAAGGUUUUAGGAUUGUAAACUCCUUUUGUUAGAGAAGAUU